UACGAAGGGGGCUAGCGUUGUUCGGAAUUACUGGGCGUAAGCGAAACGUAGGCGGUGUUCCAUGUCAGAGGUGAAAGCCUGGGGCUCAACUCCAGAAUUGCCUUUGAAACGGGGACGCUUGAGUCCGAGAGAGGAUGGCGGAAUUCCUAGUGUAGAGGUGAAAUUCGUAGAUAUUAGGAAGAACACCGGUGGCGAAGGCGGCCAUCUGGCUCGGUACUGACGCUCAGGUUCGAAAGCGUGGGGAGCAAACAGG
rnacentral:rRNA from 1 species